rnacentral:lncRNA from 1 species
UCAAAACAUCUUAUUUCCCACUAUCCUCAUUUAUCAAAACUCGAUGGGGAAUAUCGUCAUUUGAUCUUCAUAUGCUGGAGAACGGAUUCUUUGUUUGCAAGCUAUACUCUGAAGAAGAUUUGCAACGAAUCCUCGAAGGAUUCUGGACUAUCCGCGGUCAUCCAAUGAUAUUACGACGUUGGUCUCCUGAUGUCCGUUUGGAGUUAGAUAGCCUACAGUCUAUUCCAUUAUGGGUAUCCUUUCAAGGACUGCCUCUACAUCUUUGGAGUCGACGUUUUAUUGCAAAGUUAUGCAGCACUCUGGGACAGCCACUCUACAUCGACAAAGCAA